rnacentral:rRNA from 1 species
CCUGGCCCCACGGCAAAACCUGAUGGAGCUGGCCGCGUGAGUGAUGAUUGUUUUCGGAUCGUAAAGCUCUGUUGUAAGUCAAGAACGAGUGUGAGAGUGGAAAGUUCACACUGUGACGGUACCUUACCAAAAAGGGACGGCUAACUACGUGCCAGCGGCCGCGGUAAUACGUAGGUCCCGAGCGUUGUCCGGAUUUUUUGGGCGUAAAGGGAGCGCAGGCGGUUUGAUAGGUCUGAAGUUAAGGGCUGUGGCUCAACCAGGGUUCGCUUUGGAAACUGUCAAACUUGAGUGCAGAAGGGGAGAGUGGAAUUCCAUGUGUAGCGGUGAAAUGCGUAGAUAUAUGGAGGAACACCGGUGGCGAAAGCGGCUCUCUGGUCUGUAACUGACGCUGAGGCUCGAAAGCGUGGGGAGCGAACAGGAUUAGAUACCCUGGUAGUCCACGCCGUAAACGAUGAGUGCUAGGUGUUGGGUCCUUUCCGGGAUUCAGUGCCGCAGCUAACGCAUUAAGCACUCCGCCUGGGGAGUACGACCGCAAGGUUGAAACUCAAAUGAAUUGACGGA